UUGACCCUAGCUUUGCGUAGAGAUUGAAACGAAUUGAGGUGACUGAGUGGCGGACGGGUGGAGUAACGCGUGGGUAACCGUAGCCUUGUACAGGGGAGUAACAGUUGGAAACGACUAGCUAAUACCGCAUAAGCGCACAGUAUCGCAUGAUACAGUGUGAAAACUACCGGUGGUACAAGAUGGACCCGCGUCUGAUUAGCUAGUUGAGGGGUAACGGCCCACCAAGGCAACGAUCAGUAGCCGACUUGUAGAGAGUGAUCGGCCACAUUGGGACUGAGACACGGCCCAAACUCCUACGGGAGGCAGCAGUAGGGAAUAUUGCACAAUGGGGGAAACCCUGAUGCAGCGACGCCGCGUGAAGGAUGAAGUAUUUCGGUAUGUAAACUUCUAUCAGCAAGGAAGAAAAUGACGGUACUUGACUAAGAAGCCCCGGCUAAAUACGUG
rnacentral:rRNA from 1 species